rnacentral:lncRNA from 1 species
GUGGGUCAUCCUCAAGCCAAUGGAGAAGCCAAAGUUACCAACAGAACCAUUUUACAGGGGCUGAAAGAUAGGAUUCGUUGAGCCAAGGGAGCAUAGGUUGAUGAGCUGUAUAAUAUCCUAUGGGCCUAUCAAACUACCCAAAGAACUCUAAUGGGAGAGACUCCCUUCAACCUCUCCUUUGGAACCAAAGCUAUCAUCCCCAUA